GUGAGGACAUACAUAAAAUUGCAUUAAAUAUAAAACUGAUUCUCAAAAUUAAUGAUACUUUGGUAUUGUCUCAAUCAAAGUAUAUAAAAGAUCUACUUUCAAAGUUUGAUUUGAAAAAGUGCAAUGGAGAUGAUACACCUCUGGCCACAACAGAAAAACUUAGCAAAAACAUGGGUGAAGACUUUACUGAUGCAACUCAAUACAUAAAAGCAAUUGGAGGAUUACAGUAUGUAGAAUUAACAAGGAUAGAAAUUGCAUAUGCAGUUAAUAAGUUAAGUCAAUUCAUGGCUAAUCCUUUACAACCUCACUAGCUGGCCUUCAAACGAGUACUGAGGUAUCUCAAGGAAACUAUAGACUAUGGUUUGACUUUCAGAAAAUCUGAUUUUCUAGAUCUUGUAAUAUACACUGAUGCAGAUUGGGGCAGUGACAUUGAUGACAGAAGAUCAACUAGUGGCUACUGUGUGUACUUAGGUGAAAAUUUAAUCAGCUAUAGUUCAAAGAAGCAGAGCAUCAUUUCCAAGUCAUCAGCAGAGUCAGAAUACAGAGCUAUGGCAUUAGCUUGUUCAGAAUUAACCUGGAUCUGCUCAAUUCUUAAGGAACUGGACAUUAAACUUCAGAGCACUCCACUGUUGCUAAGUGAUAGCACAAGUGCAGCUGUUAUAGCUACGAAUCCAGUAAUGCAUUCUAAGACCAAACAUAUUGAAAUAUAUAUUCAUUUUGUGAGAGACAAAGUUGAAAGGAAAGAAGUUGAAAUUGCUUUUGUGUCUACCAAUGAUCAAGUUGCUGACAUACUAACUAAACCUCUUACAUAUCCUAAGUUUAGCUUCUUCAGAAGCAAACUUAAGGUCUUUCCAAAAGACUUAAGUUUGAGAAGGGGUGUUGAAUUCACUAGUGAAGCUGAACCAAAAAUUACUUCCUCGCUUUCAAAAUCUACUAUAGGAUAGGAUUGAUUUUGUCAAAAUUAAUUUCUAAAAAAAAUUUAUAAAUAUUAAAAUUCACUUUUAACUUUUUAAAAAUACUUUUAAAAAUUUCAAAAAUAAUUUCCAAUAAGCCUUUCCUAUUUGGAUUUUGGACCACCACAUUCGUGACAUUUGUGACGACAACAACUUUCACCAGCCCAAAACAACCUUUAGAGAAUUGUCCUUGGCAAUGGGGACACGACUCUUUUGGGACAAAUUGGCCAAAAGUUCAUGUCCAGAUUGCCCUAUAAGUCUAUGUCUUGGGCCACUCUUGGCAUUUUCUUUUUUCCCCUCAAAAGAUUUAACUAUGGUGUUAAUUGGGUCCACCAAAAAUUUCAUGUGUCAACGUAAAUGCAUGUGGACUACAUCCAUGUCAAUUGCAAUGAGAAUAAAUCAUGGAAUUUAAAAUAAAUUAUUCAUUUAAAAUAUAAGAACCGGAAUUGAAAUAAUAUGUAUUUUUAUUGAUGUGAUAAAUUUGUCUAAGAAUUAGAAUGGAUUGUUUUAAAUAACUAAACUGCUUUUAGUUAAUUAUGGUCAUUAUUAUUUUAAUUUAUAUAAUAAUUUUGAUUAUUAUUAUUAGUAUUAUAUUAACAACAAUUACAAGAAUAAGAAUAAGAAUAAUACGAUAAUAUAAUAAUAAUUUAAUUAAUAAAAAAGUUAGAGUUAUGAAAUUUAAAUGAGGUAAAAUAGAGAAUUCAACAUGAUUAAUAUGACUAAUAAAUGAACCACAUUCUUAUUUACUUAAAUUUAAUAUAUAUAGAUUGAUGUGAUAAUUAAUAACUAAAAUAAUUAUAUUGAACACUAAAUUAAUUACUCAUAUCAUAUCCAUAUUGUGUGAUAAAUUUAUUUAUGUCAUGUUAACUUAUUUAUGACCUAUUUUUAAGAAUAAUGUUCACAUACUUGUCAUUUUUUAAAAUAUUUUUUUAAUUUAUUAUUAAAUAAAUUAAAUGGGUCAACACGAUUAAUAUGGUUAAUAAACGGAUUGUAUCUGUGUUUUGAUAUUUUGAUACGAUUAAUAAAUAGGUCACAUCAACAUUUAUUUAAAUUUAACGCAACUUAAUUAUAUGAAUUGACACACCUAACUAAAACUAUUUUUUUUUCAAUAAACAAAAUGGGUUACCCAAUUAAAGCCUAUAUAUUUAUAUAUUUUUUGGGACCACAUUCCUUGCCUUUUGAAAAUACAUGGAAAAUUGAUUGUGUAGACCCUAGGCAAUGCCCAUGUUCAUUUAUUUAGGCCCAUUUUAGUAUUAUUGUAAUUUUUAAAAUAACUAUUGUUACAUGUGUUACAAAAAUAAUCAGUUAUGAUAAGAAUUAAAUAAAAAUUUAGUAAAAUUUAUUUUUUAAAAUGUUAUGAGUUUUAAAAACAGUCGAAUGUGCUCAAUAAAUCUUAUUAUUAAUUUGUUGUAAGGUUAUACAUAAUUGAAUUGCACAUGGUAUUGAAUAAAAUUAAUUUAUGCAUGAAUAAACAUGUAUAUAAAUUUUUUCUAUUGUGUAUAUAUAUUAAUUGAUAACUAAAAUAAGUAAUUUAUGAUUUUUUUAUUUUGUAUCUCAAUAAUAAUAAUAAUAAUAAUAAUAAUCUCUUUAAAUUCAAUACUUUUAUUUCUUAAUUAAUAAGGAUAAUUUAAAUUUUUUUUAUGUGAGAAUAUACAUGAAAUUGCAUUAAAUAUAAAACUGAUUCUCAAAAUUAAAUUUUAAAAAAUUAUUUCCUCGCUUUCAAAAUCUACUAUAAUAGGAUUGAUUUUGUCAAAAUUAAUUUCUAAAAAAAAUUUAUAAAUAUCAAAAUUAACUUUUAACUUUUUAAAAAUACUUUUAAAAAUUUCAAAAAUAAUUUCCAAUAAGCCUUUCCUAUUUGGAUUUUGGACCACCACAUUCGUGACAUUUGUGACGACAACAACUUUCACCAGCCCAAAACAACCUUUAGAGAAUUGUCCUUGGCAAUGGGGACACGACUCUUUUGGGACAAAUUGGCCAAAAGUUCAUGUCCAGAUUGCCCUAUAAGUCUAUGUCUUGGGCCACUCUUGGCAUUUUCUUUUUUCCCCUCAAAAGAUUUAACAAUGGUGUUAAUUGGGUCCACCAAAAAUUUCAUGUGUCAACGUAAAUGCAUGUGGACUACAUCCAUGUCAAUUGCAAUGAGAAUAAAUAAUGGAAAUUAAAAUAAAUUAUUCAUUUAAAAUAUAAGAAC
rnacentral:lncRNA from 1 species